ACACCUAGUAUUGUGGAAUCUGCAAUAAGUUACAGUGUCACGUCAUCUAGUGUGAUUCAUGUUCUACAGGAACAAGCAAUAGCGACACAACAAUCUCAAACUGCACCACCAGGUCCUCUACCCGAGAGUCAAUUCAUUGCCAGCUGCAGAGAUGAGCUCCCACCUCCAAGACCACCUACCAAAACACUUGGUUUAAAGAAGAAAAAUAAGCAGCAAGUGUCAAAGAAGAAAGAGAACCAAGUCCUAGAUGUUUAGUUCAAUGAAUGCUAGUUCAUAUUUUGGAGAUGUUUUAUCUGUAUAUUUUGGAUAACUUGCGUUCAUAUUUUUCUUGGUUUGACAGAAACCUGAUGCUUAUGUGUAGCUCUGGUUUCAAUCAAACCGUCUAAGUGCAAACUUAUUUAUAGUGCACUUGUGCUGGCAGUUGUUUAUUUUGGCUGAAACAAGACAAUAUAGUAAACUCGA